UACAGAGGUGGCGAGCGUUGUUCGGAUUUACUGGGCGUAAAGGGUGCGUAGGUGGUUUGGUGUGUCGGAUGUGAAAUACCACAGCUUAACUGUGUGAAUGGCAUUCGAAACUACCAAGCUAGAGUUCAGGAUGGGAGAGCGGAAUUCUUGGUGUAGCGGUGAAAUGCGUUGAUAUCAAGAAGAACACCGGUGGCGAAGGCGACUCUCUGGAAUGUAACUGACACUGAGGCACGAAAGCUGGGGGAGCAAACAGG
rnacentral:rRNA from 1 species